rnacentral:tRNA from 3 species
GGAGGAGUGGCAGAGUGGUCGAAUGCGGCGGUCUUGAAAACCGUUGAGCGCGAGAGCGUUCCGGGGGUUCGAAUCCCUCCUCCUCCGCCA